rnacentral:rRNA from 1 species
GUCGAACGGGAUGCUUAGGCAUCUAGUGGCGGACGGGUGAGUAACGCGUGAGAAUCUGGCUCCAGGUCGGGGAUAACAGUUGGAAACGACUGCUAAUACCGGAUGUGCCGAGAGGUGAAAGAUUUAUUGCCUGGAGAUGAGCUCGCGUCUGAUUAGCUAGUUGGUGGUGUAAGGGACCACCAAGGCGUCGAUCAGUAGCUGGUCUGAGAGGAUGAUCAGCCACACUGGGACUGAGACACGGCCCAGACUCCUACGGGAGGCAGCAGUGGGGAAUUUUCCGCAAUGGGCGAAAGCCUGACGGAGCAAUACCGCGUGAGGGAGGAAGGCUCUUGGGUCGUAAACCUCUUUUCUCAAGGAAGAAGAAAGUGACGGUACUUGAGGAAUAAGCAUCGGCUAACUCCGUGCCAGCAGCCGCGGUAAUACGGAGGAUGCAAGCGUUAUCCGGAAUGAUUGGGCGUAAAGGGUCUGCAGGUGGAACUGAAAGUCUGCUGUUAAAGAGUUUGGCUUAACCAAAUAAAAGCGGUGGAAACUACAGAACUAGAGUGCGGUAGGGGCAAAAGGAAUUCCUGGUGUAGCGGUGAAAUGCGUAGAUAUCAGGAAGAACACCGGUGGCGAAAGCGUUUUGCUAGACCGUAACUGACACUGAGGGACGAAAGCUAGGGGAGCGAAUGGGAUUAGAUACCCCAGUAGUCCUAGCCGUAAACGAUGGAUACUAGGCGUGGCUUGUAUCGACCCGAGCCGUGCCGGAGCUAACGCGUUAAGUAUCCCGCCUGGGGAGUACGCACGCAAGUGUGAAACUCAAAGGAAUUGACGGGGGCCCGCACAAGCGGUGGAGUAUGUGGUUUAAUUCGAUGCAACGCGAAGAACCUUACCAAGACUUGACAUCCUGCGAAUCCUGGUGAAAGCUGGGAGUGCCUUAGGGAGCGCAGAGACAGGUGGUGCAUGGCUGUCGUCAGCUCGUGUCGUGAGAUGUUGGGUUAAGUCCCGCAACGAGCGCAACCCUCGUUUUUAGUUGCCAGCAUUAAGUUGGGCACUCUAGAGAGACUGCCGGUGACAAACCGGAGGAAGGUGAGGAUGACGUCAAGUCAGCAUGCCCCUUACGUCUUGGGCUACACACGUACUACAAUGCUACGGACAGAGGGCAGCGAGCCAGGGAUGGCAAGCGAAUCCAGAAACCGUAGCUCAGUUCAGAUCGAAGGCUGCAACUCGCCUUCGUGAAGGAGGAAUCGCUAGUAAUUGCAGGUCAGCAUACUGCAGUGAAUUCGUUCCCGGGCCUUGUACACACCGCCCGUCACACCAU